rnacentral:piRNA from 1 species
UGCAAGGCCACCCUGUUACCC